rnacentral:lncRNA from 1 species
GGUUGUAACAUGAAUGCAGCAAGAUGAAUGAUAGGUUUAAGCUAAAUAAAAUAAUAUCGACAUAACAAAAUACCAAAUUUCUAAAGCAAGGUGCAAAAUUGCAAAAAUAUAUUACAUGAUAUCUGAAAAAAAUGUUCCAUAAGAAUUAACUAAUUUCAAAAUUUUUAAUAAAAGUAGAGAGUGUAUGGGGGGACAGAGAGAGAAAGGAAAAUUUGCCUUGCAGACUUUAGCACAAACCGUUCUCAAGAUAUUCUAACAUUUCAAAACUCACCUAAGCAAAAGGAAUCAAUUAAAUGUCAAUCUUUUAUCAAGUAUUUUAAGAACUCUUAGAACUAAUCUAGAGCUAAAACUUCCAGCUCAGUUUUGACCCCACAAUGAUCAAACUUGUAAAACUCUGAAUAUAAAACUUGUAGGCC